UGCUCACUUCUGACGUCACGUCCCGCUGGUCCACCUGCUGUUCCGCACGCUUUUCCACAACAUGCAGCGUUUAAAACUUUGACAAGCGUCAAGUUGCGGGUUGGCCGUGCUUUUACACCUUGCUAACAUGCAAGCUAGAAAGGGUGCUCUCGCGUUGGCAGUUAACGUCUUCUAUGACCUUUUAAAUUCCAUCAAACGCCAAAGGUAAGACAAAACGUUUGCAUAAAUUCAUAACAGAAUGAAUCAAAUAGUUUGCUGCACGCGUGUUAAUUGUCUAAUAUUUGUCUGCAGGUGCGGCUCUUCCAAAUGAUUCUCAAAUGACGGACUUUCUGUUUGAUGAAAGUGGAUUCACACGUGAACCCUUUUAAUUAACAGCAUCUACUGGUCUCAUUUCUGUCCACAGGCCUGCAUCUGCAACAGAAGAACCAGAUUGACUGC